rnacentral:rRNA from 1 species
UGGGCAAUCUGCCCUGCACUCUGGGACAAGCCCUGGAAACGGGGUCUAAUACCGGAUACUGAUCCUCGCGGGCAUCCGUGAGGUUCGAAAGCUCCGGCGGUGCAGGAUGAGCCCGCGGCCUAUCAGCUUGUUGGUGAGGUAAUGGCUCACCAAGGCGACGACGGGUAGCCGGCCUGAGAGGGCGACCGGCCACACUGGGACUGAGACACGGCCCAGACUCCUACGGGAGGCAGCAGUGGGGAAUAUUGCACAAUGGGCGAAAGCCUGAUGCAGCGACGCCGCGUGAGGGAUGACGGCCUUCGGGUUGUAAACCUCUUUCAGCAGGGAAGAAGCGAAAGUGACGGUACCUGCAGAAGAAGCGCCGGCUAACUACGUGCCAGCAGCCGCGGUAAUACGUAGGGCGCAAGCGUUGUCCGGAAUUAUUGGGCGUAAAGAGCUCGUAGGCGGCUUGUCACGUCGGUUGUGAAAGCCCGGGGCUUAACCCCGGGUCUGCAGUCGAUACGGGCAGGCUAGAGUUCGGUAGGGGAGAUCGGAAUUCCUGGUGUAGCGGUGAAAUGCGCAGAUAUCAGGAGGAACACCGGUGGCGAAGGCGGAUCUCUGGG